rnacentral:misc_RNA from 1 species
AGUCGGAAUCGUUAGUAAUCGCGGAUCAGCAUGCCGCGGUGUAUACGUUCCCGGGCCUUGUACACACCGCCCGUCACACCAUGAGAGUUUGUAACACCCAAAGUCGGUGGGGUAACCUUUUAGGAACCAGCCGCCUAAGGUGGGACAGAUGAUUAGGGUGAAGUCGUAACAAGGUAGCCGUAGGAGAACCUGCGGCUGGAUCACCUCCUUUCUAAGGAAUAUUACGGAAACCUACACACGCGUCGAAACUUUGUUUAGUUUUGAGAGAUUUAACUCUCAAAACUUGUUCUUUGAAAACUAGAUAAUAUCAAAUAUAUUUUUUCAUAAUGAAACCGAGAACACCGCGUUUUUUGAGUUUUUUAUUGAAGUUUAAUUAUCGCUAAACUCAUUAAUCCCAUUUACCGUUAGGUAAAUGAGGUUAAGUUAACAAGGGCGCAUGGUGAAUGCCUUGGCACUAGGAGCCGAUGAAGGACGGGACUAACACCGAUAUGCUUCGGGGAGCUGUACGUAAGCUAUGAUCCGGAGAUUUCCGAAUGGGGGAACCCAGC